AAAGCAUUAUUUUUAAUGUAAGAGCUGCUUUCUACUUCACUUCUGAGGAAAGUAACAGAGUAAGCAAAAACGAUGCUUCACAUUUGCAGAGACAAAAACAGAUUUGGAAUUAAGACAGCCAGUGCUUCCUGGCAUCAGUGUUGGCUUUGUCUAUAGACAGAGAGAAAACAUGCUACAAUGCCAACUCCAAUAUGAAGUUAUAAAGUUAAUUUUAUAUGUAUCUUAACUUUCUCCAAACUCAAGGGUAAAGCCCAAAUUGACUUCACUGGAGUAAGGAUGAAUAAUCAUAGAAUCUUUAAGGUUGGAAAACACCACUAAGAUCAUCUAGUCCAACCAUCAAACUAUCACCACCAUGCUUACUAAACCACAUCCACAAUGACAUAUGAUAGUUUUCUUGAGAAAAGAGGACUGGAACAAUACCUAGACAUGGCUGUUGUAAGCACACAAUUGGGUCUGGACAAAGAUCAGCAAAAUACAUCGCUGCUUCACCACUGGCAGGAGGAUUGCUAUUCAGCAGGAUGCUCACAGCAUCUGGCUUAGUGAGAUGAUUUAGUUCUGAACUAGGAUGCACCGAACAACCCCCUGAAGGACUGUGUAUUCCUCCACUGACUACAUAAGGAGCCCAAGGAAACAAUCUUUAAAUUCUAAUAAAAAAAUCUGGAAAAUGGAAAAUUAAGCUGCACCCCACUUCUCCUUCAGAGGUUCAGCUCUUCUCUUUCUUCCUUCACUGCAGCAGGGAGACAGAAUAAUACACCCUUGUUUUUCAUGGCACAGCAAAUGCUUCUUGAGUCAGUAGCAUUUUACCAACUAGCACAUGCAAAGGAUAUGUCCAGUCUACUUCUUUCACCAAGUUUGUGGGAAAAAUAUAGCAUUUCUUCAGGAUAUCAUAUUAAAACUUGUGUAUGACCACCUGGUGCAAGGCAAUAUUACGCAGAUUACAUAAUAGAAGACGACUUUAAAAAAUGGUGCUUAGCUUUUUCUUUUAGAAAUUUGCCAGCAUUGUUGUUGAUGUGAUUUUGUUCAAUUUUUUUCAGAAUGUGAUUAAAAAUGAACAAACCUUUUACACAGAUGAUUAUUCAGCAUUUUAUGUAUAUAUUGGACAAGAAUGUAUUACAAUUUAACUCAUUUUAGAAAAUGCAGAGGUGGGCAAAUUCUUAAUUUAAUCAACAUCUCAACAUUUGAUAUUGUAAAAUACUCUUAAACAGAACAUAUACUCAAAAAGAUCUUAGGGUGACAUCACAUUUAAAUAAAGCCCAGCUAUGAGAAUAUCAUGUUUCCUUCAGAAAAAUUUUGUAUCUUAGAAAACAAUGAACAACUGUUGGAAUAUUUGGAAAUGCUCAAAAAUAUUUGUCAUAUUUUAUAUAAUCUUUUUUGAGCCUUCAGAUCCCUGAAAAUGUGUAUUCAUUGUUGCUUGAAAUUUUCACAAAUGUCUUAUUUCAUGAGUACAGUGGCCCUCAGAUAUAACCCUCAUCUUAUAAGGAAGACAGAAUCAUGAAGGAGGGUUUUACAAUCUCUAAGUAAUUUAUAGAUUUCAAUGAUAUCAGGCAUGUAAAACCCUAUAUCUGGGAUAUAGGCUAUUUAUUUGUGCUGUCAGAAAGACAUAGUUAUAUAGCUUUCUCAAGCCUAGGAUAAAUCCAAACUUCACAUGUGAUCCUAAGAUAUUAUACAUCUCCAAAACUUUUAACUUUGAUUUAUUCCUUCAAAUUUUUUUAUUUUUUUUUUAAAGAGGGAAUGAGAGAGAGCAAGAGAAUACUGAGAAGACACUUGGUGGGCAAUUAUACAGGAGGAAUCAUUUCCCUUUCAAGCUAUAAGUUGUUUUUCAUUUGACAUACAUUUUCUAGUGUUGGUUAAUGAAAACAAACAAGAAAUAUUGAAGUUAAAUUCAGCAAAAAAAUUAUUAGCCUCAUGAUAUGUUAACAACACAACUAUUUCCAUUACUUUUUCUGGUGGAUUUACUAUAUUUUGUGAACACCACUGUUAUUCUUUGUAUUAGGAAAGGAAUGUCUUAUUGCUAUUUGAGUUGUCUGGGAUAAAAGAAAGUUUGGACAAAAGCUUUUUGUUAUGCUGUAUUUUGUGAAGUGUGUACAUGUAAAACAUUGUCAAAUCUAAAACUUUGUGUAUUUUUUACAUAUUUU
ensembl:lncRNA